rnacentral:rRNA from 1 species
CUAUCAUUAACUGAAUCCAUAGGUUAAUGAGGCGAACCGGGGGAACUGAAACAUCUAAGUACCCCGAGGAAAAGAAAUCAACCGAGAUUCCCCCAGUAGCGGCGAGCGAACGGGGAGGAGCCCAGAGCCUGAAUCAGCAUGUGUGUUAGUGGAAGCGUCUGGAAAGGCGCGCGAUACAGGGUGACAGCCCCGUACACAAAAGCGCAUGUGCUGUGAGCUCGAUGAGUAGGGCGGGACACGUGGUAUCCUGUCUGAAUAUGGGGGGACCAUCCUCCAAGGCUAAAUACUCCUGACUGACCGAUAGUGAACCAGUACCGUGAGGGAAAGGCGAAAAGAACCCCGGCGAGGGGAGUGAAAAAGAACCUGAAACCGUGUACGUACAAGCAGUGGGAGCCCCACCACCAAAGCAUUUGCUGUACCGCGUUGACGGAGCGAAGCG